UAGAGUUUGAUCCUGGCUCAGAACGAACGCUGGCGGGCGUGGAUAAGACAUGCAAGUCGAACGAGAGAAUUGCUAGCUUGCUAAUAAUUCUCUAGUGGCGCACGGGUGGGUAACACGUGAGUAACCUGCCCCCGAGAGCGGGAUAGCCCUGGGAAACUGGGAUUAAUACCGCAUAGUAUCGAAAGAUUAAAGCAGCAAUGCGCUUGGGGAUGGGCUCGCGGCCUAUUAGUUAGUUGGUGAGGUAACGGCUCACCAAGGCGAUGACGGGUAGCCGGUCUGAGAGGAUGUCCGGCCACACUGGAACUGAGACACGGUCCAGACACCUACGGGUGGCAGCAGUCGAGAAUCAUUCACAAUGGGGGAAACCCUGAUGGUGCGACGCCGCGUGGGGGAAUGAAGGUCUUCGGAUUGUAAACCCCUGCCAUGUGGGAGCAAAUUAAAAAGAUAGUACCACAAGAGGAAGAGACGGCUAACUCUGUGCCAGCAGCCGCGGUAAUACAGAGGUCUCAAGCGUUGUUCGGAAUCACUGGGCGUAAAGCGUGCGUAGGCUGUUUCGUAAGUCGUGUGUGAAAGGCGCGGGCUCAACCCGCGGACGGCACAUGAUACUGCGAGACUAGAGUAAUGGAGGGGGAACCGGAAUUCUCGGUGUAGCAGUGAAAUGCGUAGAUAUCGAGAGGAACACUCGUGGCGAAGGCGGGUUCCUGGACAUUAACUGACGCUGAGGCACGAAGGCCAGGGGAGCGAAAGGGAUUAGAUACCCCUGUAGUCCUGGCAGUAAACGGUGCACGCUUGGGUGUGCGGGGAAUUCGACCCCCUGCGUGCCGGAGCUAACGCGUUAAGCGUGCCGCCUGGGGAGUACGGUCGCAAGAUUAAAACUCAAAGAAAUUGACGGGGACCCGCACAAGCGGUGGAGUAUGUGGCUUAAUUCGAUGCAACGCGAAGAACCUUACCUGGGCUUGACAUGUAAUGAACAACAUGUGAAAGCAUGCGACCCUUCGGAGGCGUUACACAGGUGCUGCAUGGCCGUCGUCAGCUCGUGUCGUGAGAUGUUUGGUUAAGUCCAGCAACGAGCGCAACCCCUGUUGCCAGUUACCAGCACGUGAAGGUGGGGACUCUGGCGAGACUGCCCAGAUCAACUGGGAGGAAGGUGGGGACGACGUCAGGUCAGUAUGGCCCUUAUGCCCAGGGCUGCACACGUACUACAAUGCCCAGUACAGAGGGGGCCGAAGCCGCGAGGCGGAGGAAAUCCUAAAAACUGGGCCCAGUUCGGACUGUAGGCUGCAACCCGCCUACACGAAGCCGGAAUCGCUAGUAAUGGCGCAUCAGCUACGGCGCCGUGAAUACGUUCCCGGGUCUUGCACACACCGCCCGUCA
rnacentral:rRNA from 1 species